rnacentral:rRNA from 1 species
UUAUGGAGAGUUUGAUCCUGGCUCAGGAUGAACGCUGGCGGCGUGCCUAAUACAUGCAAGUCGAGCGAACGGACGAGAAGCUUGCUUCUCUGAUGUUAGCGGCGGACGGGUGAGUAACACGUGGUAACCUACCUAUAAGACUGGGAUAACUUCGGGAAACCGGAGCUAAUACCGGAUAAUAUUUUGAACCGCAUGGUUCAAAAGUGAAAGACGGUCUUGCUGUCACUUAUAGAUGGAUCCGCGCUGCAUUAGCUAGUUGGUAAGGUAACGGCUUCCAAGGCAACGAUGCAUAGCCGACCUGAGAGGGUGAUCGGCCACACUGGAACUGAGACACGGUCCAGACUCCUACGGGAGGCAGCAGUAGGGAAUCUUCCGCAAUGGGCGAAAGCCUGACGGAGCAACGCCGCGUGAGUGAUGAAGGUCUUCGGAUCGUAAAACUCUGUUAUUAGGGAAGAACAAAUGUGUAAGUAACUGUGCACAUCUUGACGGUACCUAAUCAGAAAGCCACGGCUAACUACGUGCCAGCAGCCGCGGUAAUACGUAGGUGGCAAGCGUUAUCCGGAAUUAUUGGGCGUAAAGCGCGCGUAGGCGGUUUUUUAAGUCUGAUGUGAAAGCCCACGGCUCAACCGUGGAGGGUCAUUGGAAACUGGAAAACUUGAGUGCAGAAGAGGAAAGUGGAAUUCCAUGUGUAGCGGUGAAAUGCGCAGAGAUAUGGAGGAACACCAGUGGCGAAGGCGACUUUCUGGUCUGUAACUGACGCUGAUGUGCGAAAGCGUGGGGAUCAAACAGGAUUAGAUACCCUGGUAGUCCACGCCGUAAACGAUGAGUGCUAAGUGUUAGGGGGUUUCCGCCCCUUAGUGCUGCAGCUAACGCAUUAAGCACUCCGCCUGGGGAGUACGACCGCAAGGUUGAAACUCAAAGGAAUUGACGGGGACCCGCACAAGCGGUGGAGCAUGUGGUUUAAUUCGAAGCAACGCGAAGAACCUUACCAAAUCUUGACAUCCUUUGACAACUCUAGAGAUAGAGCCUUCCCCUUCGGGGGACAAAGUGACAGGUGGUGCAUGGUUGUCGUCAGCUCGUGUCGUGAGAUGUUGGGUUAAGUCCCGCAACGAGCGCAACCCUUAAGCUUAGUUGCCAUCAUUAAGUUGGGCACUCUAAGUUGACUGCCGGUGACAAACCGGAGGAAGGUGGGGAUGACGUCAAAUCAUCAUGCCCCUUAUGAUUUGGGCUACACACGUGCUACAAUGGACAAUACAAAGGGCAGCGAAACCGCGAGGUCAAGCAAAUCCCAUAAAGUUGUUCUCAGUUCGGAUUGUAGUCUGCAACUCGACUACAUGAAGCUGGAAUCGCUAGUAAUCGUAGAUCAGCAUGCUACGGUGAAUACGUUCCCGGGUCUUGUACACACCGCCCGUCACACCACGAGAGUUUGUAACACCCGAAGCCGGUGGAGUAACCUUUUAGGAGCUAGCCGUCGAAGUGGGACAAAUGAUUGGGGUGAAGUCGUAACAAGGUAGCGUAUCG